UAGAAAAAGAUGAGACAAUUGGUUUUAAAAUAGAGUAUCAACGAAAAAGAAGCAGCACAAAUUUGUGCCUUUUGUGCAGUUACAAGCGGUAUAGUUUUUUCUAUUAGAAAUUGCGUCAUUAUUCUAGCUUUAUUGUCUGCUUCCAAGUCAAAAUGUUCAAUAAUAGAUAAAAUAUUAUUUCUAAAGCCAUUCAGUUAAAAAAAAAAGGUACUUGCACUCUGGCACCACAUCAACAUCUUGUCGCAGGAUUGGGUUGUGUGACUGUCCUCUUCCUUCUAAUGUCAAUCACCAUCUCUCGGAAGCAGACGAUUCCUCCCAGACCACUCCACAAAACCGUCCACUACUGCUCUGUACUCCCAAUACAUCCAACCACCGCACAGUUGUCAGUGUAAUUUUGCAAGCUGCCCGAGUCUAAGUUGUAUUGAAAUGUAAAUAUAAUGUUUCUGAAAAAUGUUUAAAAUUGUGAUUUGUCCAGUUAAUUUAGUGUCAGUAAGAGCAACAUCAAAAUCUGAAAAUAAAAUUAUGAUUUUUUAUAUAAGUAAUUAUUUAUUACUCAAAAGUACUUCCAACAAGUACUUCCAACAUGGCCCCAUGGGCCUUCUUGUUGGGAUAUUUGGAGCAUUUUGAUUUAUAAUAGCAAAGUAUAAAUCUGUUAUGACUAAAGUAAAAUUAUGACUAAAUUAAAUAAGAAUAAUUGCAAAACUACAUUUUAAAGACCUCCAUAAGUUCUGCUCAGGGAUAAAAAACAAAAUCAGAUUAUUCUCUCAAUCCAUUUGGAAAUAGGUAUAUUUAAUCCUAUGUUUGUUUUUUCAGUUUUUGCUAUAUAACAACUAAAUAUGCAAAAAACCAACCAGCACUUACUAUUAAACCAUUAUUUUUGGCAUAUAAUGAACAUUAUUUGUAAUAAAAGAUCAGAUGUACUUUAUUCCUCCCCAAAUCUGGGCAAGAUCAUAAAACAAAACCCAGAUAAAGGCCACAAGCCGAAACGCGUUGUACAGUCAAUAAAGUUGCUCCUCUUUCAUUUUAAGUGUUGUUGGAGUUCCUGCCUUGUGAGCUUUUCAUCCUCUCCAUGCACCUUGGAAAUAGAUGAAGUUAUGCCAGAAAUUUUUGCUGCAAGAUCAUAAAAUAAGACAGCUCCCAAAUUAAAAAAAAGAAAGAACUCAAUAAAAGAUAAAGAUGAAGAGCUAAUUAAGUGACAAAUGUAAGUAAAUAAGUUAAUACGCAUUUAUGUAAGUAGUAUCUAAGUAACAUUAAAAAGAAUAUCCAUCUCACUACAGGGGAAUGUCUGUUGUAUAAUAAAGUAAAAGUAAAUAUACAUUAAAAAUGUAUUCAAUCAUAGCAAUAAUGUUGAUUAAGAUGCAACUGAAAUAUAUAAAAUGAAAUGUUUAUCUUUUAAAAAUAUCUAAUCAUUAAGAAAAAUAUACUUGGUAUAAACUGAAUGUACAUUAAUCAAGUAAAUGUCAUUGUGCUAUUAUUUUGGACAUAGCACUUAUGUAACAAAAUUACUUGUAAGAUUUACAUUAUAUCAAAUUAAAGUCAGCGUUUUGGGCAUAUUUUAAUUUUGAGUGUAUGAAGCAGGAACUCCACUUUUCUUCUCCUCAUACCACAUUAGUCGUAUCUGUCCUUGUGGCAGCAGAGAUGAAACAGAUGUUAAAGAAAGUGAAAAAAAAAAUCAUGACCCUCAGAUCAUUGCUGCUAUUCUUACACUGGUUUAUAUUUCAAACUGAACCACCUAAAACCUGAGCUCUAUAAA